GGAGGCAAGUGGAGGAGUGGUCUCCUCUCUUUGCCAGACAAAAGUGAGAUUCAACUCCUCCAACUUCUCGCC
rfam:Ixodes scapularis strain Wikel colony gcontig_1108378924462, whole genome shotgun sequence.